GUUUAACAUAUUGAGUUCAGUUGAGGGCAGCUUCCCUGUUCUGUUAAUUAAACUUUGGGUCAUUGAAACUGGCUAAUGGGAAAAAAAUAAAAAUCAAUGAAAAAGAUUAAAAUUUAAAAUUUUAAUUUCAAAAAU
rnacentral:snoRNA from 1 species